rnacentral:rRNA from 1 species
CACGUAGGGCGCAAGCGUUGUCCGGAAUUAUUGGGCGUAAAGAGCUCGUAGGCGGUCUGUUGCGUCCGCUGUGAAGACUCGGGGCUUAACCCCGAGCCUGCAGUGGAUACGGGCAGACUAGAGGUAGGUAGGGGAGAAUGGAAUUCCCGGUGUAGCGGUGAAAUGCGCAGAUAUCGGGAGGAACACCGGUGGCGAAGGCGGUUCUCUGGGCCUUACCUGACGCUGAGGAGCGAAAGCGUGGGGAGCGAACAGG